rnacentral:rRNA from 1 species
AUUGAACGCUGGCGGCAUGCUUUACACAUGCAAGUCGAACGGUAACAGGCCGCAAGGUGCUGACGUGUGGCGAACGGGUGUGUAAUGCUUCGGAACGUCCCCAGUCGUGGGGGAUAACUACUCUAAAGAGUAGCUAAUACCGCAUACGAUCUAUGGUUCUAACCGGGGGACCGUAAGGCCUCGCUCGAUUCGACCUGCCGAUGCUAGAUUAGGUAGUUUGGGGGGUAAUGGCUCACCAAGCCAACGUUCUGUAGCUGGUCUGAGAGGAAGACCAGCCACAGUGGGACUGAGAAACGGCCCAGACUCCUACGGGAGGCAGCAGUGGGGAAUUUUGGAGAGUGGGCGCAAGCCUGAUCCAGCAAUGCCGCGUGGAGGAAGAAGGCCUUCGGGUUGUAAACUGCUUUUGUACGGAAAGAAACGGGUCUGGUUAAUACCCGGGGCUAAUGACGGUACCGUAAGAAUAAGCACCGGCUAACUACGUG